UGGUGGAGUGAUUUGUCUGGUUAAUUCCGUUAACGAACGAGACCUCGACCUGCUAAAUAGUUCGGCAAAUUCUACGGGAUUUGUUCGUGACUUCUUAGAGGGACUAUCGGUGGGUAGCCGAUGGAAGUUCGAGGCAAUAACA
rnacentral:rRNA from 1 species